GGAAACUAAGGCAAACCAGGGAAGUUAAAAGAAUAAAAGUCUCCUAACAGAAUUUAAUCUUUACAGUAACCCUGACUCUGCCAAGUGAGGAAACUAAGGCAAACCAGUGAAGUUAAAAGAAUCUAAGUCUUAAUCAGUUCUGAUGGAUGUGGCUCUUCUCAACAACAAGGCAAUUCAGGCCAGUUCCAAAGAUUUUAUGAUGAUGAGAGCCAUCUAUACCCAGAGAGAGGUCUGUGGGAACUGAAUGUGGAUCUCAACAUAGCAUUUUCACUUCUUUGGUUGUUGUUUGCUUAAAUUUUAUUUUCUUUCUAACUUUUUUCCUUUUUGAUCUGAUUUUUCUUGUGCAGCAAGAUAAUUGUAUAAAUAUAUAUGCCUACAUUGGGUUUACACAUAUUUUUACCAUGUUUAAAAAAUAAAUAAAUAAAUUUGAGCUGAGGGGUGGGGGAGGAAGACUCCAAGUCUCUUAACUGUAGGUAACUUCACAACAAUCCUGCAAAGUGAAUUUUGUUAUAAUUUAGAACUGGAAGGGAUUGUAGAGAAUUUCUAACCCAAUUCCUUCAUUAUUCAGAUAAUAAUUAUAAUACUAAAGCAUUUAUAUAGUA